AGUAACACGUGGGUGAUCUACCUCAUAGUGGGGAAUAACGCUGGGAAACCGGCGCUAAUACCGCAUAAGCCUGCUCCUUCGUUGGAGCAAGGAAAGUCGCAAGACGCUGUGAGAGGAGCCCGCGGCCGAUUAGCCAGUUGGUGGGGUAAUGGCCUACCAAAGCUUAGAUCGGUAGCCGGCCUGAGAGGGCACACGGCCACACUGGCACUGAAACACGGGCCAG
rnacentral:rRNA from 1 species